GUGGGGAAUAUUGGACAAUGGGCGAAAGCCUGAUCCAGCCAUGCCGCGUGUGUGAAGAAGGUCUUCGGAUUGUAAAGCACUUUAAGUUGGGAGGAAGGGCAGUAAGUUAAUACCUUGCUGUUUUGACGUUACCGACAGAAUAAGCACCGGCUAACAUCGUGCCAGCAGCCGCGGUAAUACGAAGGGUGCAAGCGUUAAUCGGAAUUACUGGGCGUAAAGCGCGCGUAGGUGGUUUUGUAAGUUGGAGGUGAAAUCCCCGGGCUCAACCUGGGAACUGCCUCCAAAACUGCAUGACUAGAGUACGGUAGAGGGUAGUGGAAUUUCCUGUGUAGCGGUGAAAUGCGUAGAUAUAGGAAGGAACACCAGUGGCGAAGGCGACUACCUGGACUGAUACUGACACUGAGGUGCGAAAGCGUGGGGUGCAAACAGGAUUAGAAACCCGUGUAGUCC
rnacentral:rRNA from 1 species